rnacentral:rRNA from 1 species
CCUUGACAUACUAAGAACUUUCCAGAGAUGGAUUGGUGCCUUCGGGAACUUAGAUACAGGUGCUGCAUGGCUGUCGUCAGCUCGUGUCGUGAGAUGUUGGGUUAAGUCCCGCAACGAGCGCAACCCUUUUCCUUAUUUGCCAGCGGGUCAUGCCGGGAACUUUAAGGAUACUGCCAGUGACAAACUGGAGGAAGGCGGGGACGACGUCAAGUCAUCAUGGCCCUUACGGCCAGGGCUACACACGUGCUACAAUGGUCGGUACAAAGGGUUGCUACCUCGCGAGAGGAUGCUAAUCUCAAAAAGCCGAUCGUAGUCCGGAUCGCAGUCUGCGACUCGACUGCGUGAAGUCGGAAUCGCUAGUAAUCGCGGAUCAGAAUGCCGCGGUGAAUACGUUCCCGGGCCUUGUACACACCGCCCGUCACACCAUGGGAGUUUGUUGCACCAGAAGUAGGUAGUCUAACCGCAAGGAGGACGCUUACCACGGUGUGGCCGAUGACUGGGGUGAAGUCGUAACAAGGUAGGCGUAGAUGA